rnacentral:rRNA from 1 species
AUGAACGCUGGCGGCGUGCCUAAUACAUGCAAGUCGAGCGAACGGACGAGAAGCUUGCUUUUCUGAUGUUAGCGGCGGACGGGUGAGUAACACGUGGAUAACCUACCUAUAAGACUGGGAUAACUUCGGGAAACCGGAGCUAAUACCGGAUAAUAUUUUGAACCGCAUGGUUCAAAAGUGAAAGACGGUCUUGCUGUCACUUAUAGAUGGAUCCGCGCUGCAUUAGCUAGUUGGUAAGGUAACGGCUUACCAAGGCAACGAUGCAUAGCCGACCUGAGAGGGUGAUCGGCCACACUGGAACUGAGACACGGUCCAGACUCCUACGGGAGGCAGCAGUAGGGAAUCUUCCGCAAUGGGCGAAAGCCUGACGGAGCAACGCCGCGUGAGUGAUGAAGGUCUUCGGAUCGUAAAACUCUGUUAUUAGGGAAGAACAUAUGUGCAAGUAACUGUGCACAUCUUGACGGUACCUAAUCAGAAAGCCACGGCUAACUACGUG